GAGCUCGCCAUCUUCUAGUCCUAAAAAACGGAAAUGAAUGGAGUUUGCCUGACCCGGAGCCGGUUAGUUCUGAGUUAACCCGAGGUGAACUCAGUUGACCAAAGUUACCUCGCUAACUCCUCAAACCUGCUUCCAGACAUGUAGCUGCCCAUCUUCAAAAAGUUGCCAGAUGGGAGUCGUGUACUGAAAGACACCAGCUUCUACAGAUGCACCAUUGAGAGCAUCCUGUCUGGCUGCAUCACCGCCUGUAAAGGCAGCUGCACUGUCCCCCGGAAGAUCAACAAGGACCACAGCCAAGGCCUGUUCACUCCGCUUCCAUCGGCAGACUAACUGAGCAUCCACCACCAGGCCAUAAGACUGUAGCUGUCCACCUGCACAACCUGCUGUUCACCUGCAUUUUAAGAGACUAUUUCCACUGACUCUCUGUAACAGUAUUGCUUCUGUCCCUCUCCUUACCCCAACCCGGGCUCGAGUCAGGGACCCUCUGAACACGUCAACAACUUGUCACCCCACAAAGCAUCGCUAUUGCUCCACUUAAGCCGCGACCCUUGCACCCGUGUAAGCACGUUCACUCACUCCCAUGACUGCUACUAUAAUGUUUUACUAUAUAUUUGUACUGCUCACUCUACCUACUUGUUGACAUACCACAUUUCAUAGUACAUAUCGUUACUGCUAGUUUUACUCCUACUUUUAUACCUUUUAAUAUUUGUUUACCACUUGCCUUGUUAGGUGUUUGCUGUUACUUUUGUUGAUCUUUUGAUAUUUCACUGUUGAGGUAGCCCGUUAAUGGACUAAAUGAGCCUAAAGUUAUUCCUUAGUGCAAGGACCUUAAAUGCUCUUUUUAAAGUGCGAAUUGGCUCUGGAAGCCAAAACAGCCAAAUACUCUAAACGGGAAUCAAUUCUCAAUUGCGGUACGGUUCUAGAAACAUAAAUCCCUCUACUUUCAUAUCACAUCAAAACAUUUUCAAAUGCAAAAUACACACUUACUGUACACUGUUUUAACACAGUUGCAGUCAACCGUAUUUUUUUUGUGACAAUGUGUGGCGUCCGUCUUCUGUUUAUACAUGGGUGUUAGGAGAUGCAGAUAGCUUUUUAGCACAGGUAGUCGACUCUGUCUUCCAUCUGUUUUCUGUAAACACGCGAUGUAACAUGGAGAUAUGGCCAUGUGGGCACACUAACCCUUUAAAGGAGUUUAUCAUUUUAACCUUUUGUUUUUUAAACAUUAUAUUGAUAUGAAAGAUAAGGUCCUUGUGAUUCCAAAACCGCACCACAAGCGAUGCGUGUUAUUGUUCAGACCGGGCGCCGGGGCUCCUAACAAAACUCCCCCCUACAGAAGACGCCUUCGUCCAACGACUCUUAUGUGUAAUGGAACUGAGAGUCAUGAUCAACGGCUAUCUCAGGACAAGCAAAGAGUUGGAAUACAAACUAAAUAUACAGUGAGCUCAAAGUAUUGGGAUAGUGAAAUGUUUUGUUGUGUGCAGACUGUCAGCUUUAAUUUGAGGGUAUUUCCAUCCAUAUCAGGUGAACCGUUUAGAAAUUACAGCACUUUUUGUACUUAGUCCCAUUUUAGGGGACCAAAAGUAUUGGGACAAAUUCACUUGUGUAUUAAAGUAAUCAAAAGUUUAGGAUUUGGUCCCAUAUUCCUAGCACACAAUGAUUACAUCAAACUUGUGACUCUACAAACUUGUUGGAUGCAUUUGCUGUUUGUCUUGGUUGUGUUUCAGAUUAUUUUGUGCUGAAUAGAAAUGAAUGGUAAAUAAUG